AAAAUGACUCUCGGCAACGGAUAUCUCGGCUCUUGCAUCGAUGAAGAGCGUAGCGAAAUGCGAUACUUGGUGUGAAUUGCAGAAUCCCGUGAACCAUCGAGUCUUUGAACGCAAGUUGCGCCCAAAGCCAUUAGGCUGAGGGCACGCCUGCCUGGGUGUCACUC
rnacentral:rRNA from 1 species